CCCAAUGCCCACCCCACCCCGUCCGGCGCAGUUAGGUUUCGAAGUUCGCGCAGCCCCCUGAGGCCGCCGGGAAGGGGUGGGGACAGCGGCCGCCCUGCGGCAGGAGCUGGCGUUGCGGGAAAGCCUGGCGCUUAGGUCGCUUCCCACGCCCAGUUAGGUGGCCAGCCUGGAGCUGGUAUUUGGGAGCUCUCCCCAGGUGCGGGAAGCCGUGCGCUCGAGGGCAGGGGAAGGAACGCCGCACCCUGCUCCCCUCUCCCGGGCCGGGCACCUUUCUAGACCUCCAUCCCGUUUACUCUCCACAGCAGCCGCGUUCUGUAGUAUCGCCAUUCUUACGUAGGAAGAGAUCCGUCUCUGGAAGUCUUGAGGGACUUGCCCAGGUCACAUGAUUGGUACACAAAAGAAGAUAUGCUUGCCAUAGUUCUUUCGGUGAAAACUUUAAAAUUCAAAAUGGACAUCAAAACGAUAGAGGUUUAUUAAGCAGAUAAUAGCACUUCAGAGAAAACUCUCAAAAGUGAGAGAGAGGGGUCCCAACAGGGUAUCCUUUUUUCCCUGAACAUAUGCUCCAUCCCUAAAUGUUUAUAUAAAACUUUGUAUUCAGUGAUUCACAAUUGCAUGAUAUUGAUGUAGGAACAAGUUAGGAGCAGACAGGGCUAGGUAGGAAAAGAUAAGGGAAAGGUCUAGAGUCAGGCUUCCAGGAAUCUGUGGGUUCCCAUAAACCCCAAGGACACCAAAAGGCCCCAGAGGCUCCUACCCAUCCGAAGGAAACAGAUUCGUUCAACUCCAUAAGAACCAAGCUCUCCCGUAUCAUUUUGGUGCCAAAACCUGGGACCUCCCAUCAAAGGCUUCAAGCCUUCCAACAUCACUUGGGAGCCAUACUGUAGACUUCUCGACUGACCCUGAGAAUACUCUGACUGCCUCCGUUCCCCCCCUCAUGCCACCCCUUUUCAGCCUGAAGCAGCCAGAGCGGUCAUCAUCCCAUUCCCUAACGGCAGUUCGGGUUACUAUUCCAAGGGGAGGAAGGAUGUAGGAACAAGUUAGGGGCAGAUGGGACUAGGCAGGGAAAGAUAAGGGAGAGGCCCAGAGUCAGGCUUCCAGGAAUCUGUGGGCUCCCAUAAACCAAGGACCCCAAAGGCCCCAGAGUCAGGCUCCUACCCAUCCCAAGGAAACAGAUAAGACAGUAAAAAACAGAAAAAAAUAAACCUGGCUCCCUAGCUCCAAAAUGUUAGGGGGUGUUCCCCUUUAAUAGCUACUAGGCUCACAGAUACCCCAGAUGUAGAGAAAUAUUAUGGAGGAGCUAUUAACCAGAGAGAAGGGAACACCUUGUUUGUGCUCAUGAUAUUUACAAAGAAACAUCUUGUUUGUUUCAAG